rnacentral:rRNA from 1 species
ACUUAAAUUGAAGAGUUUGAUCAUGGCUCAGAUUGAACGCUGGCGGCAGGCCUAACACAUGCAAGUCGAACGGUAGCACAGAGAGCUUGCUCUCGGGUGACGAGUGGCGGACGGGUGAGUAAUGUCUGGGAAACUGCCUGAUGGAGGGGGAUAACUACUGGAAACGGUAGCUAAUACCGCAUAACGUCGCAAGACCAAAGAGGGGGACCUUCGGGCCUCUUGCCAUCAGAUGUGCCCAGAUGGGAUUAGCUAGUAGGUGGGGUAAUGGCUCACCUAGGCGACGAUCCCUAGCUGGUCUGAGAGGAUGACCAGCCACACUGGAACUGAGACACGGUCCAGACUCCUACGGGAGGCAGCAGUGGGGAAUAUUGCACAAUGGGCGCAAGCCUGAUGCAGCCAUGCCGCGUGUAUGAAGAAGGCCUUCGGGUUGUAAAGUACUUUCAGCGAGGAGGAAGGCAUUAAGGUUAAUAACCUUGGUGAUUGACGUUACUCGCAGAAGAAGCACCGGCUAACUCCGUGCCAGCAGCCGCGGUAAUACGGAGGGUGCAAGCGUUAAUCGGAAUUACUGGGCGUAAAGCGCACGCAGGCGGUCUGUCAAGUCGGAUGUGAAAUCCCCGGGCUCAACCUGGGAACUGCAUUCGAAACUGGCAGGCUAGAGUCUUGUAGAGGGGGGUAGAAUUCCAGGUGUAGCGGUGAAAUGCGUAGAGAUCUGGAGGAAUACCGGUGGCGAAGGCGGCCCCCUGGACAAAGACUGACGCUCAGGUGCGAAAGCGUGGGGAGCAAACAGGAUUAGAUACCCUGGUAGUCCACGCCGUAAACGAUGUCGACUUGGAGGUUGUUCCCUUGAGGAGUGGCUUCCGGAGCUAACGCGUUAAGUCGACCGCCUGGGGAGUACGGCCGCAAGGUUAAAACUCAAAUGAAUUGACGGGGGCCCGCACAAGCGGUGGAGCAUGUGGUUUAAUUCGAUGCAACGCGAAGAACCUUACCUACUCUUGACAUCCAGAGAACUUAGCAGAGAUGCUUUGGUGCCUUCGGGAACUCUGAGACAGGUGCUGCAUGGCUGUCGUCAGCUCGUGUUGUGAAAUGUUGGGUUAAGUCCCGCAACGAGCGCAACCCUUAUCCUUUGUUGCCAGCGGUCCGGCCGGGAACUCAAAGGAGACUGCCAGUGAUAAACUGGAGGAAGGUGGGGAUGACGUCAAGUCAUCAUGGCCCUUACGAGUAGGGCUACACACGUGCUACAAUGGCAUAUACAAAGAGAAGCGACCUCGCGAGAGCAAGCGGACCUCAUAAAGUAUGUCGUAGUCCGGAUUGGAGUCUGCAACUCGACUCCAUGAAGUCGGAAUCGCUAGUAAUCGUAGAUCAGAAUGCUACGGUGAAUACGUUCCCGGGCCUUGUACACACCGCCCGUCACACCAUGGGAGUGGGUUGCAAAAGAAGUAGGUAGCUUAACCUUCGGGAGGGCGCUUACCACUUUGUGAUUCAUGACUGGGGUGAAGUCGUAACAAGGUAACCGUAGGGGAACCUGCGGUUGGAUCACCUCCUUACCUGAAAGAA